GUGGGGAAUCUUGCGCAAUGGGCGAAAGCCUGACGCAGCCAUGCCGCGUGAAUGAUGAAGGUCUUAGGAUUGUAAAAUUCUUUCACCGGGGACGAUAAUGACGGUACCCGGAGAAGAAGCUCCGGCUAACUUCGUGCCAGCAGCCGCGGUAAUACGAAGGGGGCUAGCGUUGCUCGGAAUUACUGGGCGUAAAGGGCGCGUAGGCGGACAGCUUAGUCAGAGGUGAAAGCCCAGGGCUCAACCUUGGAAUUGCCUUUGAUACUGGCUGUCUUGAGUUUGGGAGAGGUGAGUGGAACUCCGAGUGUAGAGGUGAAAUUCGUAGAUAUUCGGAAGAACACCAGUGGCGAAGGCGACUCACUGGCCCAAUACUGACGCUGAGGCUCGAAAGCGUGGGGAGCAAACAGGAUUAGAAACCCGAGUAGUCC
rnacentral:rRNA from 1 species